AAGCCUUUUUGGCCUUCAGAGGACUGGGUACUAAAACGUUUUCAAUAUGUCGGACGAGUUGUAGGUUUGAGACGCGUCUGAAGUAAAAGGCAUAUAUUUUGUGGAUUUUUUAGCUUGAUUUCAAGUAUAAUAAGGAUUAUGGCAACACCGGAGCAGAGUGUAACCAAGACUAGGGUUCCGAAAGUUGCAAAGGUGAAGAAUAAGGCCCCAGCUCCAGUUCAGAUCACAGCUGAACAACUCUUGAGGGAGGCCAAGGAGAGGCAGUUAGAAUUGGUUCCACCACCUCCCAAACAGAAGAUAAGUGAUCCUGAUGAAUUACAAGAGUACAAGCUUCGAAAAAGAAAGGUUUGA